UACGUAGGGGGCGAGCGUUGUCCGGAAUGACUGGGCGUAAAGGGAGUGUAGGCGGCCUUGUAAGUUAGAUGUGAAAUCCCGCGGCUUAACCGCGGAACUGCAUCUAAAACUGUAGGGCUGGAGUGCAGGAGAGGUGAGUGGAAUUCCUAGUGUAGCGGUGGAAUGCGUAGAUAUUAGGAGGAACACCAGAGGCGAAGGCGACUCACUGGACUGUAACUGACGCUGAGGCUCGAAAGCGUGGGGAGCAAACAGG
rnacentral:rRNA from 1 species